rnacentral:lncRNA from 1 species
ACGCGUCGGCUGCCUCCUGGCCAUGGACCGGUUCCGCCUCCGCGGACCCAAAUCGGCCCCGGGACGGGGGACGGGCGAGGGCGGCCCCCGGCGGGGAGGAGCCCUACGGGAGCGGAGACAUUCGGUGAGGCGGCCCUUACCCGGCGGCGGCAACCUUCACUCUCUUCGCCCGGCCGCCAUCUUAGGUUGGAACGAGAAACAAAAUGGCGCCCGGACGGCUCCGGGAACGGAGCUGGAGGGAGAUGAUGGGAAAUGUAGUCUCGCGCCCGGCAGGCAACGCGAGGGCUGCUCCGUAGGGACUCCGUCUCCCGGCAUGCAGAGGGAAAGGGGCCACCACAGCCUGCGCCGAGACUCCGUGCAGGACACUGUGUGAAAUGCAGUCCGAGCGAGGCACGGAACGCAACCCUUCCCCGCAGAUUGCGGGAGUGCCGAGGCCGCGUUACCCAGCGCACCCCGCGCCCCGUCAGCGCAGGGGCUUCUGGGGGAGGAGGAGGGUGGGAAGCGGUGGUGGUCGUGGGGGGCUGCGGAGCGGCUGCAGUGAGCGCCGCGGUCUCCGUUCCACAGCGCGGAUUAGGCGGGGACUGGCAGUGAGGGCCGCAGCUCUCCCAGGGAAAGGAGAGCGGCUUGCCGGAGAAGUCAGCAUCAAAACAAUAAAUCUCAAGCCAUUGUCCUUCCCACGAUGCCUGGAGACAUCACCCAGAGAUGGAUACUGUCUCCUGAAUCAGACUGGCAUCAUAAGUGCAGCUCCCACUGAUACAACACUGAAGAAUAGAAGAGAUCUGCAUAUAACGUCCCAUCUAACACAGUGAUCCAGUUGUGCAUCUGGUGAGCAGGGCAUGAGGCCAUUGCUACCUGGAAGGAAGAAUUUUUAUCAGACUGCAUGAAAUGAACAAGGAGGAGAGAUAUGUUGGGUAACACUAAACUAUCAAAGUUCCAUUUACAUUAGACACCAGCCUAGCAAUUUCAGCAUUAGUGGUUGCACUACUGCCCUCCAAUUUUUUGUAACUUUAAUAUAUCAGAAGAAAGGGAGAGUAUGUCAUUCAUCUUAUGAAACAUGAUCUUUUCUUUCAUACAUCAUCAAUAGGCAGCAAUUUGUACAGUUGUUAAAUUCCUUUAGCAGUAAAUUUCCUGGGAAAAUAAUUGCUCUGCUCCUACUUCACAGAUUAUCUGAGAUGAUAAUAAUAGUAUCUUGGGAUUUGGACUCUUUCUCUUCCAAACUUAAAGGAGAAAAAACUAGUUUUGAGGCGGAUGGCAAGGUAGCAAAGCAUCAGAUUUGCACCUAAGAAUUAGGUUCAAUUUGCUUUUAUUGUACAAUCAGUUUCCUUGGGAGUGGUUCAGCAAGUUAUCCCCUCCUCAAUCGCAUGCUAUCAUUCUCCUUUGCAACAUGUAGCUCCCUGGAAGGACAAAAGCCAUGAGGAACAUGCAGUCUUCUAGACAGACAGAGAACUCUUAGCCAUCUUCCUAAGAG